UUUGAUCAUGGCUCAGAUUGAACGCUGGCGGCAUGCCUUACACAUGCAAGUCGAACGGUAACGGGCCUUCGGGUGCCGACGAGUGGCGAACGGGUGAGUAAUGCAUCGGAACGUACCUUUCAGUGGGGAUAACGUAGCGAAAGUUACGCUAAUACCGCAUAUCCUGUGAGCAGGAAAGCAGGGGAUCGCAAGACCUUGCGCUGAUUGAGCGGCCGAUGUCAGAUUAGCUAGUUGGUGAGGUAAAGGCUCACCAAGGCGACGAUCUGUAGCGGGUCUGAGAGGAUGAUCUGCCACACUGGAACUGAGACACGGUCCAGACUCCUACGGGAGGCAGCAGUGGGGAAUUUUGGACAAUGGGGGCAACCCUGAUCCAGCCAUGCCGCGUGAGUGAAGAAGGCCUUCGGGUUGUAAAGCUCUUUCGGCCGGGAAGAAAUCGCAUGGGUUAAUACCCUGUGCGGAUGACGGUACCGGCAUAAGAAGCACCGGCUAACUACGUG
rnacentral:rRNA from 1 species